AAUGAUUUAAACUGUGUAAGUAUUUAUAUCUACAAAAUUGUUGGGUAGAACAUAGGUAGAUGGAAUAGUUGGUGACUAUGGAGUUAGCGCCUAUUGUAUAAACCUUGGCAACGAUGUGACUUCGUGCCUAUUUGAUGAACCUUGGCGACUAUGGAGUUAGCGCUUGUUGAGUAAACCUUGGCGACUAUGGAGUUAGCGCUUGUUGAGUAAACCUUGGCGACUAUGGAGUUAGCGCUUGUUGAGUAAACCUUGGCGACUAUGGAGUUAGCGCUUGUUAAGUGAACCUUGGUGACUAUGGAGUUAGCGCCUGAUAACUAUGGAUUUAGUACUUGAUAAAUAAACUUUGGCAGCAAUGGAAUUCGUGCCAAUUCCUUACGAAUAAAUGAAUGAAGGAUAGUUGGUUCUUAGGGUAAAACCUUAAGAAGAUAAUGGGGAUGGGUAAUUGGGUUGAUUGUUUGCUGAUUAAAUAUAAUAAUUAUAUUAUUGUGGGUUGAAAACCCUAUAUGCUCACCAGGCUCCCAAGCCUGACCCACUCAGUUUUCUUUUCAUUACAGGUAAUGGCACAAGGGUAUAAGUUGGAGGACUUGACGAGAGAUUUUGGAUUAUAGAUCAGUAGUUGAAUAACUAUUGUAAGGUCUAUUUUAUAUUGUUUAUGCUUUUGGUCUGUAACGAACAUGACAUCCCGAGUUUUUAUUAUUUAAUGAAAAUACAUUCUUUUCGAGAAAUGUUUUGAUAAAUGGUUAUCAUAUUUUAUUUUGGGAACAAAUUCCGCAACCGUUUUCUUUAAACGAUCACUCUGAUUUAUAAAACAAAGCAUAAACAAAUCGGUCUUUUCUGGCCGUGAAAUUGGGGAUGUCACAGUUGGUAUCAGAGCAUUAGUUUAAGCGAACUAGGAAUAUGGAUUUAUUUCUAGACUUAAACUUAGAAUGCUAAGCAAUGAUUGUGAGUUGAGUGUGUCCAUUAUAUUUUAGGUAGUACACCUAAAUUGACACAGGCACUAUUUUAUUUUAGGAAAAUUGCCUAAAAUGCUAUUAUGUGCUAAUUGUUAUAUGUUUGCCAUAUAUGAUGUUAAUUGUUCGGAUCUAUGGUCUGUUGCCGACCGGAUCUGGAAACCUUAUGUGUUUAGGAUUCUAAGCAUGCGUCUACGAUAUUAGAACUAACAUGUAAACGUUUCGGAGUGAUAAGGAUGAUUUGAAUAUCUAUCGUGACUAAGGAUAUAAUUUCACCUUAUUCGGUGUAUAGAUCAAAAAUGGUGAGAACGAGGAGUGGAGUUGGAAAUGCUGAUGAAAACAGGAAUCAAAUACCAGUAAUUGAACAAAUACCUAUUGUGGCAGCAGCGCCUGAACCAAUGACAAUGGCCGGAGUUCAAGUGAUGAUCCAGGCAAUGUUGAAUAAUCAGAUGGAAGAGACCAGACGUCUGAUCAGGCAGAAUCGCGAGGAAUUGUCAAUUCAAGUUGAAGAGCCCGAAGUAAAUGGAGGGCAGUCUGAAGGAGGAAACUACAGUGGGACCGUUGGUCAAGCCAACCCACCAAUAGUUCGCCAAAACAACCAGGAUAGAGGAAAUGAUGGACGUGGAUGCAAGUACAAGGAUUUCAUGGCAUCCAAACCACCAUGUCUUUCUGGGAGCCCGACACCGGUGCAAGUCAUGGACUGGAUCUCCGAAAUGGAGACAAUGUUUGAAAGUUGCGAGUGUAGCAACAGACAGAAGACCGCUCGUGCAAUCCCUCUGUUAAAAUCUGGAGUAUUGAGCUGGUGGAAGUUACUGGCUGGUUCGAUGCCCAAGGGGGAAGCUAGCAAGAUGUCUUGGGAAGAAUUCGUGGUGCAACUGAAAUUGCAAUACUGCUCUGAGAAAGAUCUUCUGGAAAUCAACAAUGAGUUCUAGAAUUUGAAGAAAGGAAAAUUGAGCGUUACUGAAUACGCUACGAGCUUUACGGAGAAGAUGAAGCUUAUUCCAUACCUAAUUCCAACUGAACUUUCCAAGGUCAACAAGUUUGCCAAUGGAUUACCAGCGGACUUUGGUCCGAUAGUCAAACAAGCAACCACUCUAAAAGCCGCCAUCUGGGCAGCCAAAAAUGUUGAGACCCAAAUAAAAGAAAAGGGUCUGGAAAGGGCUGAAGUUGGAGAGAAAAGGAAGCGUGAAGGAUCUUCAAUAAUCGACAAAGAAAGUAAAUUCUCGAAAUCUGGGGGAAGAGAUGAAGCUAAGUGGUGUGAGAAGUGUAAGAAGAAACACUUCGGGAAAUGUAGCGAGGAGAUGACUUGCUACAAAUGUGGGAAGACAGGGCACUACGCCAACAAGUGCGCACCUAUCAACAAGAUGUGCUAUAGGUGUAGUGAAGAAGGUCAUAUUUCUAAAGACUGCCCACAGAAAAACACACCUCCACAGCCAAGGGCAUUCAACAUGUUCCUCAACAAAGCAGAAAAGGAUGGGAGGAUUAAAAGAUGAAGACUUCAUAUUAAUAUAUAAAGUCUAUAAAGUCUGUAUCAGGAAGCAUAGCCUGUUAGAGGCAUAGUAUAGGGUGAACUUGAACUUUUGUGUAAUAGUUUCAAGAAUUAAUAUAAACCCUGGUUUUGUUAUCUGAUGUGUUGAAUGAUUAUAUGAUUUAUGUAUGGUGACUUGGUUAACUGCGAGACAAUACUUAGGACGAGUAUGAGUAGGUGUGAAUGGUAGUAGAGAUCUAUACUACCGGAAGCACAGGACUCACACUUGGAUCAUGGGAAGUCACAAGGUUAUCAAGAAGCUAGAAAUUGGUUUCGUUUUAUUCAAGUUUGUCAUUUCCCUUGUUUCGGUAAUGGCUAGUAGGAUGAUGGUUAUUCCGACCCUAGUGGUCAUAUUAAUUGAGUCCGACCGCGAUGAGAGGUCAUCGGGGCACGACCCAUCGGUUAGUUACAAUAAAUAAAUGAAUGUAUUUAUCCUUAGAAGAAGAAGGAGUCCACAACAAGGAUUUAUUUUGUAACUUAAAGAUGUCGAUCUAAAGUCCAACGUAGUACGAAGAGCAGAUGCAGGGUUGAGCAUCAAGGUUAUUACUUAGAAUGGAGAGAUAACUUAUGGAGUCAGUAUACGAAUCCUAUUUCGUUGAUGAUUCCGGGACGUAAUCAUCCUAAGGGGGAGAUAAUUGUAACGCCCGUAGAUCAGGGCUAGUCAAUUUAGAGACAAUAAGCGUCAAAAAUGACUUUUUGAUAGAAGAUUAUUUAGGAUGAAUAAUCCUAACUAAGUUGUAGUAUAUGUUACAAGGUUUCCGUGCAUAUAAAGAACGCCAAAAUCCGAGUUAUAACGAAGAAGUUAUGACUUGUUGAAGUUUCGCGACAGAACCGGCACAACGCUGAAUGACGUAAAAAGUGAAUUCACGUUAGAGUGAUAUUUAGCCUUAGCGAUCUAAACGAGAAUCGAAGAUCUCGUUGUUAGUAGCGAAACGACGAAAAGUUAGGCAAGAACGGACGUCGGACGAAGAAGUUAUGAAUUUAUAACGAAAUUUUCUGUCCCGACCUAUUAAAAAUAAAUAAUAAAAAUAAAAGUCAAAAUUAGCCGACGGAGUCUAAACGAAAGUCGUAGAGCGUAGUCUCACCUACGCGUGGAUAUAAAGAACGUCGAAAACGGAGUUCGUAUGAAGAAGAUAUGAAUUUUCGAAGUUUAUUAAUGAAUUAAUAAUUAAAUUUAAUUAUUAAAUCCCGGUAUUAUCCGAAGGCGAGUCAUCGGACUCAUCCGAAGUACGCCCCGCGUACAGCGAAGCAUGACGACCUUCGCACUCGAGUUCUUCGGAUGACGCAUGCAAUGACGUUUCGGACGCGUACGCCCCGCGUACUCCGAGGCUCCAGCCUCCUAUAAAUAGGAUGCGAGGGCAGCCGGCUCUUUUGCCAAUUUUCUCUCUUCUCUCUCCCGUUUUGCAUCGUUUUGCGUGCCAGAAAUACCCCGAAGCCCCGGUAUUAUUCUCGAGCCCCGAGGCAAGUCCCGAGAUCCCGAAGAUCCCGAGAAGUGCGGUUCCCGAGUCGAAGCUCUGCCCGCGAGAAGUUCGAUUUUUGUGGAGAUCUUCCAGAUCUGCUGAGGAUUACUACUUCUGCAAGUCGUAGUGUUGUCCGAUCAUCUUCUGAUCAAGUGAGUGUAUACUACCUUUCAUAAACACGAUAAUAAUACAAGUAUGGUUUGAGUGUAUUAAGUAUAUUGUUGUUUAUAUGUGUGAGUGUGUAGUUACUUUCUUCUAACACAUAAAUAUGAAGUAUUUGCUAUGAAAUACGUGCUAUGUGUUUAUAUGUUAUUUGUCUAUUUGAGAUGGGCAUGGAAAUUGGAGUUUUAUACAGGUGUUAAAUGAUUUAAACUGUGUAAGUAUUUAUAUCUACAAAAUUGUUGGGUAGAACAUAGGUAGAUGGAAUAGUUGGUGACUAUGGAGUUAGCGCCUAUUGUAUAAACCUUGGCGACGAUGUGACUUCGUGCCUAUUUGAUGAACCUUGGCGACUAUGGAGUUAGCGCUUGUUGAGUAAACCUUGGCGACUAUGGAGUUAGCGCUUGUUGAGUAAACCUUGGCGACUAUGGAGUUAGCGCUUGUUGAGUAGACCUUGGCGACUAUGGAGUUAGCGCUUGUUAAGUGAACUUUGGUGACUAUGGAGUUAGCGCCAGAUAACUAUGGAUUUAGUACUUGAUAAAUAAGCUUUGGCAGCAAUGGAAUUCGUGCCAAAUUCCUUAUGAAUAAAUGAAUGAAGGAUAGUUGGUUCUUAGGGUAAAACCUUAAGAAGAUAAUGGGGAUGGGUAAUUGGGUUGAUUGUUUGCUGAUUACAUAUAAUAAUUAUAUUAUUGUGGGUUGAAAACCCUAUAUGCUCACCAGGCUCCCAAGCCUGACCCACUCAAUUUUCUUUUCAUUACAGGUAAUGGAACAAGGGUAUAAGUUGGAGGACUUGACGAGAGAUUUUGGAUUAU
rnacentral:lncRNA from 1 species